UAUAAAAUACAUACAUAUGUUACAACAACCUCCUUGAGAGGAAAGAUCUCUCCUCUUAAAGAGAGAGCAAACAGAGCCCCUGAAUACCAAAUGGACUGUAUGCAUAGAGACAAUCUGGUUUCCUCAGUUCCCUGAGGAGCAGAAUUCCUCUCCCAGCCUUUCUUUUUUUUUUUUUUUUUUUAAUUUGGAUCAAGGUUCUUAAAAUUGUAAAUUAUUUUAAAUUUCACAUCUCACUAUAAUAAGUACUCAGGAUACCUUCAUGUUAAUUUUGGGUAGCAACCAUUAGUCCCAGUACAAGCAGAGUUUGAGUCAGUGCCACGGUGUAGACGGGAGGAAGUCACUGAACAUGGCAGAGCGUGGCCUUUACGAUGCAGUUAAAGUGGGAGUGUGUGCUCAUAUAAUGAUUUCUUUUUCUAAGCAGCUGGUUUUGGAUUUUAGGUGUGUUCUGAAGAGGAGAUAAACUGUGGAGUUUGGCACUGCAUUACAGCCAGCUGCUGCUACUUUAGGGAGAAGAGUGCUUGUGCCUGUUCCACUAGUUGGGCUCCAAAGAAAAGUACUACCUCGUCUUUCAGUUGGGAUGAUGUGGCCACAGGGUCAGCAGAAAUGUCAUUGCUGUGUUAGGUUUUGUUCUGCAUGUAUUACCUGGAUGGGAGUCUUUCCUCACUGGAAUGGGGCUCCAGAGGUUAUAAAGCUUUUGUAAAGGAGGAGUGAAGAGUUAGGACAGAUGGUUGAAGGUUGAGUUUGUGAAAAUUGUGUCCCUGUCGUAAAAUUGCUGCUCCGAGUGCUCUUUUUCUAGGCCUGGAGAUUGCCUGUAUUAAAACUGUUUGGGGGUGGGGCGGGUUUUUUCUUUUUUGUGAUUUCCAUUGAAAAAAUGCUGUGUUGCAGUUCUUCAAGUUUAUGACAUUGGUAUCUAAUUGAAAAACAACAGCAAAAAAUCACAAAAAGCAACUCCCCUUUCCACAGAAAUAUUGGAAGUAGUCUUCUGUGUGCAAAGGUGUUUCAGAUGAAAUCUAAGCCUCCUGUGGAGGAAGAAAAAAAAAUCACCUGACAGCUGUAGACUGUUCCUUUCCUGCAGAAAUACAGAAUUUUCCUCAAAUGCAAGUGGAACAAGCAUCCUUGAGCUUUUCUGAAGCUUAUAUUUAAUUUCAGUACCUUGGUGAUUACUCUUGUAUAUUUAGAGAAUCAAUGAAGCCUCAUUAUCGCUUGAUUGGGUGUCUAGCUGGUUGUUCCUAUGCUUUUCUGAUUCUAGUCAAGGAAGCCUGUUCGAAUUUGGAUCAAACAAUGGCCAAAGUGGAGACUUGUUGAGCAUGAAUCCAAAUGGUGACUUUAAGAACAUUCACUAUGUUGGUGUGGAUCAGAGCUUAUUGUAAAAACCUCAGAUAGAAAGAAGUUUGGGUUUUUUUAGCAGGUUACAGUCUAUUCCUGUACUAGCUGUAUUAUUGCUUUUUUGUAUAUCUCAAGGUGUUUACAUAUACUUGUAAUUGUUACGAUGUGUCUGUAAUCAAGCUCAUCUGUGCCUUCAUGCAGACUCCCAAUAAACACUUGAUUUUUUUGUA